GCCACAAACCUCUCAGGAGUCACGAAGUUGCAAGGCAGUGAUUUACCCCAGUAUUUUAAACACAGUUUAAAAAACAGAUACAUUGUAGUUACGCUUUCACACCUUGACAAGUUAGUAUUUGCCUAUUAUCCCACAGAUAGUGGCUGUGUAUUCAUUCAUAGGAGGUGCUGGGUGCUCCCUUGUGAUCAAUGGCCCACAGAGAAGGCAUUUAUUUAUUUAUUUUUAAACAGAGGCAAACUACAGACUUACUGAAUGAUCCUUCUUUCUUUGUAGAAGACACUGCCUGCCAGUUUAUGAUUUGGAGUGAAUUACUAGCAGCAGUUAAGGAAACUUCUUACUGAUUGGCCUCUGUAACUGACUCAGUCCUUUUGUGUACACUGCUGCCAUUGGGUUCACUUCUCUCAGUGUGGAUAAGGAAACAUGUGAAGUCCUUCACAUUUCUACACAGGCGUUCAAGAAGAUUUUGCACCCAUGAUAGAUUUCGUAGUCAAGAAAAGCAUGAUACUUUGUAUUAUCUUGAUACACUGCACCUCUGAACACUUGCUUGUGUACUAAAAACUAGAGACAAUAUACAACAACGCAAAAACAAAAGGUGCAGCUAUUUAGUAGGUUAGCAAGAUUUGGUUUACUGUAUGUGAAUUACAGAAAGGCUGCAACUUCAAUGAAAAUUGAUGGUAUAGAUGUCUGAUGUAGCUCCAGACUUGUCACAAAGAUGACUAGAAAUACUACUUGUGUAGCCAAAGCUAUUCAAAUGCAUAGUUGAUUAACAAGCCAUAUUAAAACAUUUUCUAUGUAUUUGAGUCUUUAUUAUUUGCCUACUUACUGUAACUUAAGUGUGAUCAGCAAUAUGCUAAUGUUUGUUCUUACUCUGUAUUGAGAUUGCUUCACUUCCUGCAGGAUGAAAUUAAAACAAAAAUAAGUCAUUUAAAAAAUACCUAAAAAAAAGGAAAUUUUACAGAUAUCUCCAGUUAAUUACACCUAUUAAAUUUAAGUAGAUGAAGAUAUAUAAAAAUGCCUCUGUAUGUUUUACUUCAGAAUUAAAAGUGACAUUAAUUCAAUUGAAUUUAGCCCACUGUGGAAGUAAAAUAGGCUGUCUUAAUGAAGAUCACUUGAACCCUAAGGGAGUUUACGCAAAGAGUUUGUGG
ensembl:lncRNA